rnacentral:rRNA from 1 species
UACGAAGGGGGCUAGCGUUGCUCGGAAUCACUGGGCGUAAAGCGCACGUAGGCGGCUUUUUAAGUCAGGGGUGAAAUCCUGGAGCUCAACUCCAGAACUGCCUUUGAUACUGGGAAGCUUGAGUCCGGGAGAGGUGAGUGGAACUCCGAGUGUAGAGGUGAAAUUCGUAGAUAUUCGGAAGAACACCAGUGGCGAAGGCGGCUCACUGGCCCGGUACUGACACUGAGGUGCGAAAGCGUGGGGAGCAAACAGG